GAAAAAGUCAUUUCUCAAGUUGCCUUCCACAAGAGAGAAUCCCUAAAAAGGCCAUUUUUUCCUCUGCCACUCUCAUUCAAACGCAGGUCCUCCUAAUCAUGGGUUAGCUUUUUAAUUUCUCAAUCACUAGAGGACAAUUUCAAGGGACAAGUCUUGUUAAGGUGGCUGCAUGAACAUCUGGAUGAUACACUACAUGAGAAAAUUAUAUUUGUUCAUCCAAGAAUGGUGUCCAAGGUUGGAACAAUAGCCCCACAAAUUGAAAAAAAAGCAAGGUUCAUUGCUGAUCACCUAAUUGACUCCAAAUUGGCAGAUUUGAUUUU